UUUCUAACAACAUUUACUUAAAAACAAAAUUCUUGUAUUCUUCAUGUAGGGUCAGUAUUCAAUUGCACAAAAAUAUGCAGCCAACUUAAGAACUAUAUAUAAGAUUAAGACACCUGGUAUUUCAUGGUAAAUGAUUAAAUUAACUAACACAGUUAUAUCCUGAACUUUGCCAUUAGGAAUGACAAUUUUGUUCGAUAUGCAUUGAGGAUUGUGGGUAAUCUAAACUGGUAUGAGCUUUUUCUCUUUGAAACUCAAACAGAAUUAAGGAACAGCAUUCUCUGCAAACAGAAUAUGGAGUUUGAGAACAGCCACAAAAAAUUCUCUUGUAGUAAGCUGAACUGCCCUAGGAGUACUCAGGAAUUAGACAACUCAGGAAUUAGAGAAUUAGAGAACUGGAGAAAUGAGGGGGCGUGGAUAGUAGGGAGAGAAAAAUUGAUUAAUUGAUUUACUAUAUUUUUCAAAUAGAAGUAUCUGGGAAAAUAAGACAAAACAAGCAGAGUUGUUUCUUUUUCACAGUGAAGCCCCAGAGGGGUGAAAGCUUUGUUCUCCCUGGGUAGCAAGCUCUUUUUUCACAUUUCCGACUGCAUAUUCCAUAUUUAUGAUGAUUUUUGGUCUCUCUGUUCCUGGCUUGCUAGGUGGCAAGGGCAGUUAGAGAAAAAAGGCAGAUUUAUGAAACACAGAAAAAUUUCUGACUGAAAUCAGGCUUGGAUUUGUGAAUCACUGUUUUUUCCCCCUGUGGUCACUCCUGUGAUGAGGUCAACUGCUUCAAUCCUUUAGGUUUUGUAGACAGGUUUCCGGAUUCCAGGAGUCCCAGAAGGUCCAGGGAGCGCUCCCCACAUUUUAGCCAGAAGUAAUUAACUAAAACAUAAAGGCCCCACUUUCUCUUUUCACACUUUGAGCCACAGAUCAUCUAAUUCCUAGCUUGAGACAUCAGAUUUCAGAUCAUUAGUGCAAAGCAUCUUCCACAGGAGGCAAUAAAAUGUCACUUUAUGUAACUCAGCUACAGUUACACUGCCUUCAGAAAGCAGGAAUCUCCCUGAAAACAAAUUUACAUGAAAACAGUCCCAUUGUUUGAGAAUUUAUGCAAAUGUUGCACAAAGGGGUUUGAUAGUGAUUUUAAAAACUUAAAUCUUUAUCACUGCCUCAAAGAUAUCCUGAGAAACUUGGUUACCUCUAAAGAAUUCCAUUGCACUUAUUUUUUAAAAUGCCUAUAAUAUAGAGUUGUUUUAAAAAUUUUCCCUAAACUCUAAACUUCUUUCUCAGCUUCAAAGCCUUCCGUAAUGAAUAUCCUAAAGAGAGCCUAGUGCAUAUUGGUUUAACACUUACUAGGAUCACUCAUUACUAGUUAAGAAAAUUGAAGAUAACAACCAUAGCACCAAGUAUUUUGAACAACAUAAAAUGUUUCUCCCGUGGGUGUAGCUCUUAGGGACCGCAUGGGGAUACACACCCCUCAGUGCUCAAUCAGCAAAAGAUGAAGCUGUAAGUGUCUCAAUCCAUGUUGAUUGACUCUGAACUCCCCAGUGUUAGGAAUCUGGAUGUGUCCAUUACUGCAUGUUCAAACAAUGAACUGCCUGCACCAGAAAUCUGAUUUCUGUAGAAAGACAUUAAGGGGCUGGGUGAGGAAUAGGGUGUCAACCAAACGUUGUGAUAUUUUCCUUUGAUUUUCACUUUCUUUAAAUUCUUUUCCAUUUACUACCUAGUGACUGUCUGGCAUUGGUACCCUCAGUUUCUUUUCUUCUGCUUUUCCUCCUAAUUCAGUGUGGAAGAUGAUCAAAGUAUGACAUUUCUUCUACCCCAGAGGCUGGCAUUUCUGCAGGCACAAAUGAGCUUGGUUUUCAAGCACUGCUCUUUGAACACAAGGAAUUCCUUUAAUGAUCACGCCGGACUAUAUAGACUUUGGAAUCAGACUCUUUGAAUUCCAGCUCUGCCAUUUACCAACUUUGACACUUUGGACAACGUCUCAUUCUGUCACCCAGGCUGGAGUGCAGUGGCACAAUUAUAGCUCACUGCAGCCUCAAACACCUGGGCUCAAGCAAUCCUUCCACCUCUGCCUCCUGAGUAAUUGGGACUACAGGGUUUUGGAAAUCUGGAUUGUAGCAGGGCAUUGUAAGUUAAAAAAUCAUCUUCCCAUUCUGUUCUUUGCAAAGAUAUUUCUGUUCCUUAAAUUUGUUGAGGGUAAGAGAUUGCAGAUUGCUUCUGUGGACUUCUUGAAGGUGGAUCUGCCUGUUGGUGGAGAACCCUAGACUGCAUGCAGCCAUGCACAUGAUCUGGAGACACAGCAGGUCAUCCUCAGCAUUUAUACUCUCUCUCCUUUUGUGCCCCCAUGGACCAAGUUAAGAAGGUGUAGGCUUCAAAUCUUAAGAUCGGUCACCACAAAAUUCAAAAAGACAAGGUCUUUGUCUGUUGCUCAGGAUGGAGUGUAGUGGUGCCAUAGCACACUGUAAUCUUGAAUUUCUGGACUACUGGCAUACACCACCAUGCUUAGGUUCGGGCCACAACAUCCGUGACUUUACCGGUUUUGGUCUCUUCCUUGUAACUUUCGGCUCCAGGAUGCUGCGCAGCUCCUCUCUGCACUAUCUAUCAGAACGUUGCUCUGCGUGCUUGAAAGUUUCGCCAAACAGAAGUACACAAAAACAAACAGAGGCGAAACACAAAUCCCCUCAGCCCUGGAGGAAAAGGCCUUGAAGCUCUUCCAGUGCAGAGGCCACGCAGAGGACAUGCUCCUACCUGUGCACAUCGGCCACGCCUGGGGUGCCUCCUGGAGUCCAGGCUGCUGGCGAUGGAAUCCAUCAUGUUGCUGAUGUCACUACUCUCAACUCCUGAUGGCAUCAGAACACAGGCAGCAUCAAGAUCAGGCUCAAGAUGCAGGAUUUUAUCAUCCAAAUCAGGCCCACAUAUGGAUGAAACCCUUCAGGUAUUCUGCACAUCUCUCAGGAAACCCAGAUGAAAUUGAGUGCCUGCUGCCCACAUCAGCAACCCAGACAUCCCACUUGAUUCUGCUUCUGGAGCCUAAGAUGGGAAAAUGGCAGGUGUCGCAGGUUGCAGGGGAAGGUCGGAGACCAGUUGAGGGCCCCGGAGUCUGUCUGGAAAGAGUUUUCCAUCCAGCCCGUCUCGGUUUCCGCAUCCGUGUGAGUCCUUUAUGACGUCGGGAAUGCCAAGGUCUGAGUCCUUUAUGAUGUUCAGGGUGCCCCGGUCUCACCCCGGGAGCCUCCUCGCUCCGGCCUGCUCCUGGCUACCCGGUGGGCGGCUCUGGCCCCAGCGACCCGCUACUGUUUCUCCAUGCGCUGCCACUUCGCAAAGGCACAUCUCUAGGUCAGUGGUCAGCUGCAGCCAGGGCGCUGCAACUCGCUCCAGGACUCGGGAAUCAGGGCCUUGGUGGGCCUCGCAGAGUGCUGGGUGUGUCGCCUGCGGGCUCCUCUUUUGGAGAAAGGAGGGAGGGAAAGGCCUUGUGAGACGACUCCAGGAGCGACCAGCGACCCCCACAAGGCCCAAGUCCUCCCAGCGCACUCAGAAACAGUCACUUAAAUGGCAAUAAGGUUGAGAAAGACUCUCCCGUGCCCCCGUGCUGGUGUAGUGGCUGUGAUUCAGUCCUUUCACCACCGCAUCCCGGGUUCGAUUACCGGUCAGGGAGUUGUUUUGCACUGACUGCCCACCCGCAGUAAUCUUUCUUUACUCCGCUGUCAGCCGGCCUGCUCCAAGAGCCAGAGGCAGAAGAGUCUCCCUGCAAGGUGCAAACCCUGGCGAAGGAGGGCAAGUCCUGGUGGACGGCCUCUCAUGACACACCCUCUUAUUUAUCUCCGUGUCCACCAUUCGCAGAAGGGGCUUUAGAGAGCGACUGAGCGUCUCGCUCAGGUGUACACCACCGUGCAGAGAUGGCAGCUCUCCUGGAGGUGUACCCAAGAAGCCCACCAUCUUUGCCGCCUCCGCCAUCCCAGAGGCGCCGAUUGGGCUGAGCUGCAAAUAACUAAGAGAGAGAGAGGCCAAGCCAAGUCGUGGCGUUUGUGUGCGGCACACGUCGUCAGCUGACACAGGCGGUCAGCUGAGCCUCCUCACCUCAGUUCGCAGCUAACAUGCUUCUUAGGCCUUCGGAAGAGGCGACAGGAGGCGAUGGCCGCGAGGUUGGGAGGGGGGUGAGCGGCGGGUGAGGUCCUCCAGGACCGCCCAUUUAUUGACUGGGUGGUACAGGAGGGCGAUGUUCGCUUACCCAACAACGACAGCAGGUGGAGUAGGCACUAAUGGAAAACUGUGGCCGGUGCCCUAAGCAGAAGGCAGGUGUAAAAAUCACUAGGACAUCAAAGGGAUAGUACCACAGUCAAAUCCCGCAAUGUCUGUCUACACUCUACCAAGCAAUUGUGCACCCUCCCCCUUUUCCAUUCAGUACUCCCAAGAAGGGUUGGGACGAACCCUGUGUCCACUGUAAAGCUCAGGGGAGAGCGGGAGCGAGGGAGGUGAAGUGCACAGACUGGGCAGAGGCGGCGGGCAGAACUGCGGGGGUGAGAGGGCGCGGUGGCUGCGGGGCGGGAGCCUCUGCUGAAAGGAGGCCUGGGUUGUCCUGUGGGUGACUGUUGGUGGAAUCUUUGGCAGCGAGUGGUUGGAAGAAUGGCGACGGGCGAGCAGAGGGGAAGGUGGUGACCCUGAGCGUCUGGCUAGGGGAGAGGAGGCUGUACUGACACUCGUCUCCUCUUACCUGGCGAGGGACAGACCGUGGUCAAGAAGGGAGCUCUCCCUGGUUGAGGCUAGUCCACCACACUCCAGCUGCUCUGACCCCUGCGAUUUCCCUACACGCGGGGCGCUUGUCUGCGGUGGUGUUUGCGCUACCCGGGGGCUGGGUUCACGCAGGCUCCUGACAGUCCUUGGCUCACCGCCCCCGACGCGGAUAUCGCCGCUAGAGACCCUUCCGCCACCCUCCUAGGGAUCUUGAGGGCCUUCCUUGUUGUUCCGACUGAAGCUCACGAACAGACAGAUGUGAGCUCUCUGUCUUUUACACGUUGAAUUUGGCUAUUGGCAAAAAAAGCCCUGACCCAGAGCUUGGGACUCCUCCCGGCCUGCACACGACUUCCCGACUCUUGCCUCCUAGCGCGGCUCUUGGCUAGCGGGCGGGCAGCCUCCACCCAGCGUAGAACCGCGGCAGCCGCAGCCCCCGCAGGCUGGCGGUCAGACACUAGCAGGAAAAGGGACACAAGGCCUGCGUGGUGGGAAAGCAUGGGAGACGUCGCUUUCCCACCAGGCGAGAAGGUCUCCCUACAGUCUUUGGACAGAAGAUGGAGGGAGGCACCCCUUCCAGGAGCAAGGCGGCUGCUCCUGAGGCCUGGCUCCGCACGGAGGCUCCUGGGUCCCGCGCGCCCUCUCCCUACCGGUUAUAGCCAGAGCUGCUUCACACAUCUCAGCCGGCUUCCUCUUCCGCCUCUGCCACCUCUUCCUCCCCAGCUCGUGGGAAAGACCUAGCCUCCUCUCCAACACUUGGAGAGGGAGUUGGAUGAACGUCUCCUAACCCCAGUAGGACAGAGAUCCUGAGGUAGGAGGGGACCCCUUGCCUUGCUGCUUCUUUUGGCACCGCUGACCCGGGCCCAGGACUCCUCGCUCCUCCUGGAAGGCCUGGGUCGUGUAGCCCACAGAGGUGGCCACGUGGGCAUCUCCCCCACUGCUCCUCAUAGAACCGGAGGCAUUAUCCUGCCGGGCCCACUCUUACCCAUGAAAGAAACUUGGGAAAUGCUCCCGGGGAAGCCGGGGAUCUGGGCGCUCGACCACUUCGGUGUGAAUCUUCCGUCCGCUCAUCCUUCCUUCGGAGGGUCUUGGGGAGAGGAGAAAUGCUCAAGGACGAUGCGCUUUGCAGCGUCUCAAGGGAAACUAGAUCUCAACGGAUACCAGAAGUCUGGAGCGUCUUCCUGGAGGAAGGCGGCCCGAGGCCUGCGGUUGCAGGGAGGCUUGCGGAGCACAGCGCCCUCUCUCAGCCUGAGCUAUCCAGUGGCUUCCAGCAUCCCAGCUGGCCGACUCCACUUCCUCUCUCUUCCUCCUACUGCGGGUCUUCUUCUUCUCUUUGGGGACCGAAUCUCGCUCUGUCGCCCAGGCUGGAGUGCAGUGGCGCGAUCUCGGCUUACUGCAACCUCCGCCUCCCGGGUUGAAGCGAUUCUCCUGCCUCAGCCUCCCGAAUAGCUGGGACUACAGGCGCGUGCCACCACGCCCGGCUAAUUUUUUGUAUUUUUAGUUGAGACGGGGUUUCACCCUGUUAGCCAGGAUGGUCUCGAUCUCCUGGCCUCUUGAUCCGCCCGCCUCGGCCUCCCAAAGUGCUGGGAUUACAGGCGUGAGCCUCCGCGCCCGGCCUACUGCGGCUCUUCUAUCCUGGUGUUCUUUGAAUGCCUAUCUUCCUUUUGUGCCACAGAACCUCUCACGCCCGCCACAGGUUGCUCAUUUCCUUGGUUGUUCUGAACUUUAAAUAAGUUAAUGUAUGUAAGAGUGCCAUAAAUGCUCAGUAAUUGACAUCUGUUAUUUUCAUCAGUAACAUCAUCUGAAUCAUCUGUAUUGUCUAUUUUUAACAACUGCAUUUUUCAUUGUCCAAAUAAAGUCACAUACAUUUGAACAUUAUAUAAUGAUUGAAUAAUAAAAUUAUUCUGCUAUUUUACAAUAAAAA
rnacentral:lncRNA from 1 species